GGGGCCUCGGAGCGCGGCGGAGCGGCAGAGGCAGCACGAGGGGCAGCAAAGGCUCCGGAGCCGUGCCAGAAAUUGCCGUGUGUCGCGUUAAAAUGUAGCCAAAAACCCCAAGCAGCGGCAGACAAACAGCAGGGCUGGCCGGGAGACGCUCCCUUUGCGAAGGGAUUGGGGUCGGGGUCCCCUUCCCAGCGAGGUCAGUGCUGGAAAAGGUCCCGAUCCAACAGCUGCUCUUGCGAGAGUAAGUGGAGUGAGUACAAUCAGUGCAGGAUGAAAACGCCGCGGUGGGAGCGAAUCCUCUGGGCAGCAGGGCUGGCACCAAAACCACCCCUGUGCACUGGGACCUGAGAGAGGGAGGAGCUGAGCCCAGCCCCUGAGCCCCAGCCAAAAUCUCGAGCAUCUCUGCACUUCCCAAGGGAAAGCUUCUCUUGGCCCAGCCAAGAGACUGCAGUCAGCUGCACGCCUCCUCCUCCUCCCAGCCACAUCUUCUGUCUCCCAGAUUGACACUGGAUCAGGAUGCAUUUCUUCUUUAAUUGAGAAGACAGGCUUAAUGGAAAGGCUGCAUAACAGAGAAAGAGAACUUCUCUGAAGAACACAAGACAAUGACACUUCCAGCCCUGUGUAACUCAGAAGCAGAUUUAGACAAGUCCUUUGUCCUGAAAGGAGCCAUAAUCUAUCAAACUAUUCCACUAUGCAUUUAAAAUAACAAAAAUAUUACUUUUGCAUUCAAGAGCCAUAGCCAUUCAAGGCAAAACAGAAAAGUUUUAAGAGAUUCUCUACAAAUUUUAGAUGAGAACAAGGCAAAGCCAUGGGAAAAGGAGUAACAGUUUGUUGGUGCUGUGUUUAUGUAUAAGAAGGCAAACAAAGCAGAAGCUUGGCAGGACAGCGCACCAAAGCAGAGAACCCAGCCGAGGCUCUUUCAGCACCUGCCCCGGUGCCGUUCCGGGCACAGCCAGCAGGGGCGCUGCUGGCUCCCGGCUGGGCAGGGCUGCGCCGACGGCGGCUGCAGCGGCACAGGGGCACAGCCACGUGAGCAACCAAACUGGGCAGAAAACUCCACAGCCUCGGCAGGAGCCGCGGGGCUCGGCUGGACACGCCGCUGGGUCAGAGGGUAGCAGAAAAGCCUGAGCCAGAGGCAGAAAGCAGAGGGGCUGGGCAGCGGCAGCCGGGCCACACGCAGCCGGGGGACGCGCCCUUCGGGAAGGGGAGAGGGUCAGGGCCCCAGGUUUUACCCUGAGGAACCCGAGUAAAUGCUGAGGGUCCUUUCCAGUCAGCUUGGGACUGGAACCUUUUCCAUGAGUAACCUAAUUUCUACAAUCAGAUUUUUGUUUGUGUAAGUACAAAGAGAUUUUAGAAUCAGUCAGAAAGUAAGCAACAUAAACUCCCUUCUUGAUAUGUUCUUUCAUUUGUCUUCAAUAUGAAAAUAAAAUCUUGUAUCUGACUGUAACUACCCUUUUUGACAUCAAGUGUCAGAUCUAGAGCUGCUCCCUCACAAGGACGUUCACUGGAAGGAGCUAUCCUGCUAAUUUGGCAGCCCUUGAUAACAGACAAAACUUGAAAGUAAAUUUAUUUUUCACUUUUUCACUUAUUUUCUCAGUGUGUGUCAAUGUACUGACACCAGGAUGAUUGGGAAUGUCUCUAAGAUCAAAGAAAAAAAAAGAUCAAAGCUCCUGUGUGUUCUUGUUCUAUCGAGUCAAAAAAGUCUUGCAGUCAAAAGUGCCCUUCUAGACUUACCCAGUCUUUGUCUGCUGCAUGCACUAUUAAUCUUUGUUUUCCAGAAGAUAUGUGCACUGUCAGUUCAGAGAUACUGUUUGUUGUCAAGAACAACUUCAAAUGCUUUCUCAGGACAGCCAGCAUUUGGUAUCUACUCUUUCAAAGGGAAAAAAAGAGAAUGCCAGAGUGAAAAUUGUCAGGGCUAGCCUAGUCCCCCAUGAUCCAAAUCCACCAUACUCUCCUGAAUUCUAACUGCUUCAGCUGUUCCUGCAGGGGAAGAAAUUACACUUAAUAUAUUUCACAUAAUCUUGCCUUAUAUAUUGCCGUCAGGAAGUUCCCAACACUCAGGGGAAUACUUUUAGGUAGAUUCUGAAAAAUAAGUAUUGCUCAAUAAGUGUUAAAGAAAACUUCCUUAGAGAAAAAUUGGAGAGGUAAAAUUUCUUAAACAGAAGUUAGACACUUCAGACAAGUGGCACAUUAUAGCCUUUUCAGCAAAAAGAACAUUCAAGGAUCUAUUAUACUUUAAAAAAAAUUAAUGGAUGAUCUUCUUAUUUUCUGGGUUAGAGUUCUGGGUUGGUUUCAGUUUACUUACACAGAAGAGAGCUGAAUAGCAUUUUGCUGAAGACAAAAAUAAAAAUUCCAGUUCUGAGUUCAGACAAAGCAGGAAAGUUUGGAACUGUCAAUCUGACAGUUAUUCAAUUGUACAUGUCGUGACUGAUACACUGAGACACUUAUUUUUAUAUCUCCAACCUACAAUAUCUGCUUACAGUUGCCACGUGUUUAUUUACUCAUCAUUAAAAGAUGUGACUUUUUCCUUCUACAUUUCCUGGUUUCUUUGAGCUAGCCAUCCACAGCUCCUUGCUAACAUAAUGCUGCUAAGCUGAACCUUGUCUGGACUUUUUGUGCUUUUUGGCUUCUUGGGCCUUUUCAGUAUGCCUGGAAAAGCUUCUGGUUAUGGUAGAAACCUAGCACUGCACAGCAGGAAAUCGACAUUUUAGAUACUUUGUUAAAUUAUUUCAUCUGAAUUAAUAUGACAUUAAUGCACUACUACUCAUUACCAAUUCUUAGAUGAAGUCAUGAUUGCUUAAUGUAUGCAGAUCUCAAUGCCUGCAAUCUGCUUAGCACAGAUUUGCCUGCACAGCACUCACGGUUCGCAUAACCUGACAGUUUAGUCCACGAGGGGGAGUAGGAAAGCAGGAACCACAGGAGAACGUAUCCUAAAUUCCAAAGUUCCACUUGACAGCAAAGUUCACAUCCUUGACACUACCCUGGCACAAAUUUACUGAAUCUGGUUGA